rnacentral:rRNA from 1 species
AACGCGAAGAACCUUACCAGCCCUUGACAUGUCCCGUAUGGAUUCCAGAGAUGGAAUUCUUCAGUUCGGCUGGCGGGAACACAGGUGCUGCAUGGCUGUCGUCAGCUCGUGUCGUGAGAUGUUGGGUUAAGUCCCGCAACGAGCGCAACCCUCGCCCUUAGUUGCCAUCAUUCAGUUGGGCACUCUAAGGGGACUGCCGGUGAUAAGCCGCGAGGAAGGUGGGGAUGACGUCAAGUCCUCAUGGCCCUUACGGGCUGGGCUACACACGUGCUACAAUGGCGGUGACAGAGGGACGCAAUGGAGCAAUCCUGCGCAAAUCUCAAAAAGCCGUCUCAGUUCGGAUUGUGCUCUGCAACUCGGGCACAUGAAGUUGGAAUCGCUAGUAAUCGCAGAUCAGCACGCUGCGGUGAAUACGUUCCCGGGCCUUGUACACACCGUAGUAC